AACAGAGAUAAAAUUAUACCCCUCUUAGUUUUAUGGUAAGGAUUAGAUAAAAUAACACGUAGUACCAAAUAGCACAGUUCUUGGUAGAUUUUCUUUUAUUUACUUUCUCCUUCAAAUACCCACUGGGUAAUUUUUUACCCCUGAGAAGCCUUGGAAAAGCAGUGAUACCAGAUGCAUUCCCUUAUCUUAUCACUUGUCACAUUCAUUAUGCUGAAAUCAUUCAUUUAAGUGUGACUCUCUCUUUUAUUUUCCAUCAGGCGGCAGGUUCCUUGAGAUCCAGGGCCAUGUGUUAUCCGUUUUGAUGUCCCCAGUGUCAGACUUAAUGCCUGGGAACACAAUAGGAAAUUCAAUCAAUGUGGAGCUGCUGAACUAUUGAACCACGAGGUAGAGCUUUUGAGGGUGACCGAUCGUUAUUGCCUUUAGAAAAGCAAGAUUGGUGGGUUACACCCACACAGAGCCAAGUUAGACUAUUUUCUGGAAUUUGUUUAACCCGGGAUAGACUGGGAGCUCCAUGAGGUCUGAGACAACCUGAAGAUGCCCAGCUCAGCAGAGACUGGCUACGGCAAUCACUCAGUAACUGUUUGUUGAAUUGGACAUAAUAGAAGAGUUGAAGAAUUUUAAACAAGUCACCAUCAGUCCAGUGGAUUCCUCAAAGCAAACCUGGAAAUCUCGGCAUGAGUUGGAUUUAAGGCAGUACAUUUUCAGCUCCUGAAAAUUUGAACAGUUUCUCAAGAGAACAACUUGAAACAGAAAGGCAAGGAUGUAGAUGUGGUUGUAGAAGAUGAUGUCUGCGGCCACCAAACUGUCCACUGUGAAGAUAAACCAUG
rnacentral:antisense_RNA from 1 species